UACGGAGGGUGCAAGCGUUGCUCGGAAUUAUUGGGCGUAAAGCGCGUGUAGGCGGCUGUCUAAGUCUAAUGUGAAAUCCCGGGGCUUAACCCCGGAACUGCAUCGGAUACUGGACAGCUAGAGGAUGAGAGAGGGUGACGGAAUUCCAGGUGUAGGGGUGAAAUCCGUAGAUAUCUGGAGGAACAUCGGUGGCGAAGGCGGUCACCUGGCUCAUUUCUGACGCUGAGACGCAAAAGCGUGGGUAGCAAACAGG
rnacentral:rRNA from 1 species